UCACUUGGUGAUAGAAUUUGUAAGUUGGGUUUAUGGAGAUGUAGUUUACGUACAAUAAAAUUUACUCUCUUUAAGUAGGUGUUUCUAUGGAUUUUGACAAACCCAUACAGUUGUGUAACCACCACCACUGGAUGGUUUUCAGUGACGCGAUACAAUUUGCACCUUAGAAAUAUCAUCCGGGCUGCGGCAUGGAGUGUAGGUUGGAAAGGGGCAAGAGGGGAGUGAGAGAUGACAGAUGGUGGCAGCCUGGCCACCGUGGGGAACGCGGAGAGAAGUGAGCAGCUGCCAGAGCUACGUAAGAAGAAGACCCCACGGACUGGAGAACACAUUUCUUCUUGAAGCUUUAGACAGCUCUUUGGCAUGGAUUCUGGUGAAGCAGAGGAGUCUGGGACCAGCCUCAGAACUGGGAAUCAGGACACCUGGGUCGUCACCCAAGACGUCCUAUUAAUUACCUGUACGUCACUGGAAUGUUUGGAGACCUCUGCUCUGCCCUACAGUUCUAAACAGGACCGCAAAAGUGACCUUCUUGUGUUAUUUGUUAUGAACUUUAUCUGGUAAGUUUACCUUGGCCUCCUAUUAAACCCAGAUGCCUGAUCCCUGACCUCAAGGACUAUUACUUAUUACAUCCCUGUUUUCAUCUCCGAAUAGGUCUUAGCUGGUUUUAAGGUGAAGUCAUUACACUGGGGGCGCCCAGCAUGUAUUUUAUGUGAAGAGUCCUGUGGUCAAGUAAGGGUGGGGAAGCCUACAGACCUCAGCCCUGUCUGCAGGAGUCCAGGUGUGGGCAAGCCCCUGGGAGAUUCUGAGAAGGCUCCAGGAAGGGCCUGGUCACCUUUUCUGAACAGAGCAUCUCUCAGGCUGACUCGAACCUUUGUUUUGUAGAAUUUAUUCACACACCUUGAAACUAAUGUUAAAUGAAAUGCUUUGGGAAACACCGACUUACACAACGUACCGACCCCCUGCCUACACCCGCAUCCAGGCAUUUACUCUCACCAGGAGCGGCUUCCUCCUCCCAGUGAGCCAGGCCCUCUUCCCUAUCCGAGGAUUCACCAAGGUUAAUGAAACCGUCUCAGAUGAACCAUGACAAGCCGCAGAACCCCAGUUAUUUUUUAAAUCACCUGGUCUUUCAUGGACAAAUCUAUGUAACACUCAGCGGCACAGUAGUCUUUUAAGGGCAUAGAUCUACUCAACCCUUUAAUGGCUUUCCAAAACAUGCAGAAGAAAAUACAGACCCCUUAGAGCCCAGUGAUUUGUCCCGUCUCCUUCUCCAACCUCAUUUCCUUUCCAAUUUCCAUCACAAGAUGGGCAGCAUCAUCCCAGUUACAGCGCCUUUCCUGAAGACGCCAAGCUCAGUCCUGCCUUGGGGCCUCUGCACUGGUUCUCACCUUCAUCCAGGAAGCCCCGAGCCCAGAUCUCCACGUGGUACAGCCCCUGGCCUCUCACACACCACCUUCCCUGCGAGACCAUCCUGGACCUCGGGACCUCAAGCCCCCCCUUCCUCCACGGGCUGUGUUCUGAUCACAGGCCCUGCUGCUUUUUGGCCCCAUGCUUUCCACUACCUGCGUUAUGUUACUUGAUCGUUAAUUACUAUUUCUCGUCUUCCUUCAUCACCAGCAUCUAAGACCCAAGAGGGAGGGCCACUUGCUUGCCUUCUUCACCACUCAGUCCCCAGAUACUGUAAAAGUGACUGGCACAUAGUAGGAAUUCAAGAAAUAUUUGUUGAAUAAGUGAAUAAAUAAGAAAUGUUUAGUCAAGGUUCAAAUUCUGCUUAUUUGCAUGAUUCAGUGGAAUAACUUUAUUUAUGAAGGACUACUUGCCUAAAUGAGUGGGGCUGCCUGGGUCUUUCAGUCAGUGCCUCAUCUCAGUAACAUGACUGUACUGUAAAUUUGGGAAGAAAAGAAUAGCGUGUUAUUUACCAUUCCAUACACACACAGACACAAGCAUAGGACCCUAUAUAAAAGGCACUGCAGACUUGAUUCCUUCUACGUCUGAUCAGCACACCUCAUUAAGUGUUUUGAAAUGCAUAGCAUUCUUAAAAAUGUUUCUGUUUGAUAGUGAUGAAAGUCUUAUUAUGCUUUUUAUCUUUCAAGAAAAAGUGGCAAUUUUAACCUUCAAAAUAUUAAGUUCAAUCCUCAUGAAGAAUCUGUACAGUCUCAAUGGCCUCUGAAUGUAACUGUAGGUGCAAUUUGUGGUUUUUUGUGUUGAAUUUAAGGCAUGUCCUGAUUCUCAGGUGGUGGGACAAGGGGCUGAGAAGCCUCUGACCGCACUCAGCUGACUUCGUGCAGAAUCUGUAGUCACUUCUGGACUUGGCGGCUCUUGAGUGAGUCUUAAAAAAAAUAAAGGAGAUGGGAUCCCUUAAUGAAUAUUGCAUUGAAUUCAUCAGUAAAGCGAAACGGGCCCAGCUCCUGACGCUAACAUUCAUUUCUGGUGUGAAAUUGGCAAGUCACUUAACCCCUUCUACAAAAUGGGCUCAAGGAGAGUGCCCACUGCACAAAGCUGUCCUGAGGAGUGGACCACGGGGUAAGUUGGGCACAGCGGUGGACACUAUUCUUUCAUUUUAUUGUUUUUCUAGCACUAACUUCAAUGUGUAGCUCACACCAAGGAUAGAGAAGUUAUCUAACAAAGUUCUGAACUCAGAUAUGGCCUUUUCCCGGUGGUUUGCAGACUGGUGCUUUAUCAGUCAGUGCUUAUUUUCUGAGGGACUUUUCUGUUUGGCACAUAUUGUGAUGGGAUUCGGGGUUGUGGCCUUUUCAAGCACAGUCUCCUUUAAUCCUUAUGGUGGUUCUCUGAGGCUGUUUCUUUGAGGCUUAAGUAAAGGCCAAGUUGCUGUCCAGGGUCACAGAGCGCCUAAGAGUAGAGCCUGGGCUUAGACUCAGAGGGCUGGGCCCUAGAGCUGGUUUCCCAAACCUUAUUGCUGCCCCAUUGUCCGAGGACAGGGAGGGGUGCUGAAUGCAGGAGGGAGGCUGGGGCCACCCUUUCUGUCACCUCGGGAAUAAGUCAGAGGCUGACAGAGAAACUGGGAAGUGGGGUUGGGGAGAAAGGAGAAUGCAGGGUCCUGUGGGGUGAGUGAAAGAUUUACGGAAAGAGGAAGUCCAGUAAAAGCCCUGUGGGAAAAUCCACCCGUGCACAGCCGAUCCUGUGGGUGGCUUGGAGUGACUCUGGUGCCCGCUGCUCGGCUUGCCGUCCUGCUGCUUUAUAUUCUUAGCUGGAUAUUACUCAGUCUCCCUGUGUCUGACUUCCUCAUCUGUAAACUGGGUCUGUUGAUAACAGUAUCUCACAAUCUUGUGGGUUUGUUAAAAGGAAGAAAUGAGUUAGUAUCUGCAGUUUGGCACAUAGCAAGGGCUGAGUUUAUUAUUGAUAUUAAACUUAGAGAUGCUGUGGAAAAGUCUGUUAGCUAUGCACUCUGGAAAGAGACUGUAUAUGCAACCCUCCGGGCUGAGGCACCACUAAGUGCAGACUGGGGAAGGAAACGAGCAAUGUCUGGUGGGCCCUGCAGGGAGGAAGUGCAGUCAUUGUGGGGAUUAAGCAGCGUCUGCUGCAGCAGAGGAGGACACUAGGCAGGGCAGAAAGGGAAACAACGGGAGAAGGUAAAGCUGACAGGAGCUGGGGAGGAAGGGCAAAGGAGGAGAGAGGCCUGCAGUGCCCUCAGGAGAGGAAGUGGGGCUGGCCUAGCCCCAAAGCAGGGCCCGCUGCUGGGUGGCUGUGGUUAAAAUUGCAGUAUUUCCAGAAUCUCUCACCUGGCCUUAGUGCAUUUCAU